UAGUUUUCUCUUUUUAAUUUUUUAUUUGGGCACAAUUUCAGAAUUAAAACUCCUGAUAGGAGAACAGUACAAAGACUUCGUAAAUAUCUUUCAUCUAAAUUCUGCAAAUAACAUUUUACCAUAUUUGUAUAGGCAGUUCCAGGAACUGGAGAGAUUUCAGGGCCAGCUAAAGAAAAAGAUGUAACCAUGAGGUCAUGGCGGGAUUAUUUCUGCUGCAUAUGGGGGCGGGGGGCCCCUUGCAGCAUGAGCUCACCCAGAGGCUGGGGCCCAGGGGCCACUUCCCAAAAGGUGGGAGGACAAAGGAACCUGGGGGUAUCUCUGUGUCAGAGCUGCUUGGGGUCUUUGUAGCCACAGAGUUUACUUUGUAGCUGCCAGAAACGGGUGCAGUUUCACAGGGUAGGUAAACAGGGAACUCCUAAGUGACUAACAAAUUGCUGAUGUUUGGACUGUGUUUAAAUCAUUCACUGGUGUUGCCAUUUGAGUUUGAGGCUGCUGGGCUUUUGCGCUGUGAAGAAGUAAACAACCCAGGGGCCACUCUGCAGAGGCCCCUUUUGGCUCAUUUAUGCAACAGUUUGCUUUAUCCUGCUUCUCCUUCCCACUCUAUACAUGGGGGGUGUGUGGGUGUAAGUAAAUACUUCAGUGUGCAUUUCCCAAAAACAAGGGCAUUCUGUCACACAACCACAGUAUAAUGAUCAAAAUCAGGAAAUAAACCUGGAUGCAGUACCAUUGUCGAACGCUCAGAUUUUACUAGAUGUCUCAAUAAUAUUUUUUCCAGCUAAAGGAAAUCUCAGACCAGGCAUGGCAUUUUUUUUCUCCGUCAUCUCUUUCAUCUCCUUUACUCUGGAACAGUUUCCCAGUCUUUCAUUAAUAACCUUGACAUUUUUGAAGAAUACAAGCCAGUUAUUAUUGAAUGUUCUUCCGUUUAGAUUUGUCUGAUAUUUUGUCAUGAUUAGAUUCAGGUAAUACAUUUGUGCCAGGAUUUUUUUUUCCUUGACUUGCUCAAGUAUUUCAUUUCUUCUUUUAAAAUUCCUGUUCAUACUUAAUCCUUUUAUGUCUUUCGAGAUGAUUCUUUUUCUGUUCUAGCCUCCAUUGCGUGUCAAUAAUUUCCAUUUUUAAUUUAAUGCCUAUCUCAAGGCUAUAAUUUUCCUUUAAGUAUGUGUUUGUAAAUAUCCACCAAUUUUGAUACGUAGUAUUUUUGCAGUCGUUACGAAUAUUUUUUCAUUCUUUUUAUUUUCUAAUUUAUUACUUUUUGGUUUAGAGAGUGGCAUCUAGGCAAAAUUGACUUUUAAAAGAUUCGUUGAGGUUUAUUUUUUAGCUUAUUUGUCAAUUCUUGUAACUGAGAUGAUGCACUUUAAAACGUAUAUUCUCUAACUUGAAUUCAUUCUUCUGUCUGAUAGGCAAGCUUUUAAAUUGUUUUUCACAUCUUGUAUAUUGUUACUCUUUUGUUGGUAUCCUAGAUCUUCGUUUUGAAAAAUAUAUACUAAGAUCUUUUUAUUGUGAUUGAGGAUUUGUCUGCUUCUCCCUGUAGUGUCCUGUUGGUGUUUUAUGUGCAUUGGAGCUGCAUACGCAUCGUGUGCAUUUGCUAGGGGCGUCUGGUCAUUGUUUUGUUUCUUUCCAGUGGGUUGUUCUUUCUUGCUUUUUGUCUGUCUCCUAAUUUUUUAAAUGAAUGCCGGACAUUGUGUGUGGUGGAGCCUUCUGUCGGGGUGUUACUGUGUCCGGAGCUAGGCGGGCAGGAGGUUGGUGGAGACCAGACCCGAGUUGCGCAGGGCUGGCAUUUGCUGUUGCUAUGGUGACCGAGGGCCUCCGCAGGCUUUACAUCGCCCUGGGUUGCUCAGUGCGGAGCGGGCUGGUUGCUGGUCCCCCUCCCUCCUCAGCUGGUCUCCCCUGUGGACUCUCCUCCUGCCAGUGCUCCCGCCUGCUCCUGGGUGCUGGCCCGCCUGGCGGAGGAGGGGCAGGGCGCUCUUGAUGGCUCAGGCUUAGGAGGACUGUGGGGCCUUGUCCCGGGAUGCCCCAGGGGUAGGAGGCUCCAAAAGCCUGAGCCUGAUACCAUUGCCAUUUCCUUGAUCCCUGUCUCACCCUAACAAAGCAUGGGAAUGGCGGAUGUUUUAUACAUUUAUUACAGUGUUACAGUGAAAGUACAUUUUCAAAGAGGGAGAGAGAGAACGCCCGUGAGUGCAGGUUUAAAAAAAAAAAAAAAAAGAGCCGGACUCACUCUGCAAUAGCCUUCAUACCCCAGCGUGCGACGCCAGUGGAGACCCAAUUUGAUCUUCUGUUGGGUCUGAGGCAGGAUGCCUUAUUUGCAUGCGGAACAGGUUAUAUGGUGGCCUGGAGAGGAAUGGGUGACAUUCCUUCUCUAGAAGAGCGGGAGCAGCCCCGACCGGUCAAGGUGGGGGAAGGGGUGUUACAAGGAGACAUGGCCAGAGGCUCUGGGGGUUUCAUUUCCUUGAAGGGAACUUGAAGCCUGUAACAAGGCCAGGACCUGUGUCUGUCCCUCUCCUGUGGUGAAAGAGGUUUUUUUUCCCUUUUUCCUGCCACAAGCCGUAGGUCUCACAUGUGCUCUGGGAGCAGCAGGGUUUCGCUGCCCUUCUUCCAGCAACGUAGAGCUUUCGUUCCUCAGGAGAGAAAUUUCUGGAAGCACGGGGCUUCCAGCAUUGGCAGCCACUCGCCUCCUUUAGGUCUUGGCUACCCAGGGAGUGUCCCUGUGGUCUCCAGGCCCCCUUCCCCCUUCUAGCUCUGUCUAACAAAUUGUGAAUUUAGUGAUGGAAAGCAUCGCGCUUCUGAGCUCAAACAUCCCCGUGGGAUGGAUGGCUGGGCCCUCUGCUGGGGUUUCUAAGGCUAAAGCCAGGCGCCGGAAGGCCAGCCUCUUCUCUGGGGCUAUGGGGGAGAGUUUGGGGGUCAGAGGAGGUGGGUUUCUGACGGUUUUAGGCCGAGGCCCGUGCCUCCGUGCCCGCUGUGGGCUAAGGCCUUCUCUCAGCAUCCUUUUACAUGCACGUCCAUCUUUGAUGGACGUGGGCUCCUUCUUGGGUUCCGGCUGGUCCUGACCCCCCCCCCCAUUUCCCUCAGAGGUAAAGUGCCCUGCUGCUGUUUUCAUGUGAAUCUCACCAUGUCGUCUAUUUAUUUUCAGGUUUUCUUAGUGUCUUUGCAAAGGCUUAGAAUCGGACCGUAGCUCAGGCGGCUCGGUCCUAUCUGCAUAUUCAAGCUUGUUUCUACCCCCAGAGAGACUCGAGGCGGGAGCUGAGCCGCCAGCGGACGAGAGGCGCUCCGAGCCACCCAGCUCGCGCGCGCCGAGCCAGCACUACCCCCCAGGGCUCCCGUCCGAGGAGGCGGGGCGGGGCCCUCACCGCUAAGCCCCGCCCCUCCCCUCCUCCACCCCCUCCGAGCUUCUCCCGGAUUUCCUCUCCUCCAGGGGCAGGAUCUUGAUAGGAGGUCAUGGAGAGAGAACCCAGUAAGAUGAUAUAUGUAUAUUUUUCUGAACUAUUUAAGUAUGAAACAAUGAGCACGUUUAUUGUUUAAGAAAUUAGCACAUGUAAAAACAAAUCCUACCGUGCAAAGGUAACGUUGUUAACAUUUUGCGUGUUUUCUAUAGGAGUUUUUCUUUACAUGUCAAUAAAAACCCAUUCCAUGAAGCAGGACAUGGAGUAGCGGGUCCCAGGGCAGAGGUUCUGAUCCGCGCGGCUGGGUCAGCCUUCCUGGGGCCGCCGUCACCCAGCAUCACACACUGAGUGGUUUACCCAACAGAGGCGGAAGCUCACACCGCUGGGGAGGCGGGAAGUCUGAGACCGGGGUGUCGGCGGGCUCUGCUCCUUCAGUGGCCGGGAGGGAGGACCUGUCCCUGGCCCCGCUGCGAGCUCUGGAGCUUUGCCGGCAGCGCUUGGUUUCUGCUGCAUCACCCCGGCCUCUGCCUUCCUCUUCCCGAGACCUUCUCCCUGUCGCUGUGUCUCCGUGCCCAGAUGUCCCCUUUCCACGAGGGCACAGUCAUAGUGGAUGAGGGUCCACCCCGGUGACCUCAUCUGAGCUUCAUCCUCUGCAAAAACCCUGUUUCUAAGUAAGGUCACGUUCUGAGGUUCAGGGAGCUAAAACUCUGACUUGACUUUUUGGGGAACACAAUUCAACCCCUAGCCCUUCCCCUCCAGGAUGAGAGCUCAGGGACCCCACAGCUGUUCAGUCACUCAGGUUGUAAUAAGAAGAGUCCCCCUCCCUUGCCCACCGUCUGUUACUCUCAUGCCCGCUUCCCAGCUUCUCCCUCCUCCCUGUGGAGCCUGGAUCCAGGGACCACCCUCCCCAUGCCCCCGCCCGGUAGGGAGGGCAUGUGAUCUGUUGUCCUUCUUCUUAUUGGAUAUUCCCUUUCUCCUCCAGGGUCAGGGUAACGAGGAGGGAAAAAUAGAAAUUUCCCCCUGCUUGGUGUCAUUUGUGGCUCUCACCUGCCUAGCGCCCACUAUGUAGGAGGACAACUUUGUGGGGGUUCCCAGCCCCUGACACCACAGGAGCUCUCUGGCUGACCUCUGUGCUGACCCCCCAGCUCUGGGCUCUGGGGUCCCGCCUGCCCUUCAGGCCCCCCGUUUUCUCCACCCUGCCGGAGCCUGCUUGAUCAGCAUCCUUGUGAUAUGGCUUUCCCGCCAACCCCUUGGGUCCGCCAGGACUCUAGCAUCCUUGUUCCAACAAACACAGGCAAUGAGGUAGCUCCCUUUUCUGCUCCCUCUCCUCACCCAGCUGCCACAGAAGCCUUAGCCAGCCUCUGACGUCCAAAUUCUUCAGCCCUAUCUCUGGCUCCUAUCUCUGGGUUCCCGUCUGCCCUCAACAUUCAAAAGCGCUCCCCUGUGGCAAGUUAUGGGGAGUUUCUGCAGCUGGACAUAUACCCAGCCUCAGAUGUCAAUCUCCCUGUUUUGAGGCUCCCUCCAGUGUCCCUAAACACUUUUCUUUGAGCUGCCCCCCUCUUGGUUUGGGAGGGGAGUGACCGCCAACUAGGACCAGAGGCAAGGGCCACGGUACACUCCUUCCGUAGACGUCUCUCCUGCAGUAAUUUCCCUCCCCCGCAGGAAGGAAUCUGUUAGGGUGUGCCUGGAAGCGCCUGAGAAUUUGGGGUGUGGGAUUUGAGCUAAAAAUUUCAAGGCACGUGGGAAAAUCCCAUCCAUUCUCUUGUUAUCCAUCUGUGAAUCAUAUGCUCCGUACCCUGCUUUCUUCACUUGCCGGUAUUGUUGGAAGAUCAUUCCAUAUCUAAUAUUUAUUCUAUAGUAUUUUAAGUUGAUUCAUAGCUUGGCAUGCUUUAAUUGUAUCAUAAUUUUAUUAACCGAUCUCUUAUUUUUUAAGCACUUAGGUAGCCUCCAAUUAAAAAAAAAAACCAAACCCCUCAGAUUUCUUUAUGGAGUUUCUGUAAUUCUAGAGUUUGAGUGUCGCUGCAAGAUUCUUGGAUCAAACUCCAGUGUGUCUCUGUCCUGAGUAGGAACAGACCUAGGACCAACCUCGUGUCUAUUCAGGAGAGAGAUAGGUGUGGGGUCCACUUGAUGCUUCCAGCCACAGUAAAAUUGCUCCCGAACCUUCGUGUUCCUGGUCCCUGGGAGAAUGAGGAGAGGAGGAGGAGGGCUCAGGAGAAGUCAGCAGAUCUUGUCCCAUAUUUGGUAAGUGGCAGAGCCAGACCGGGAUGCUGCCCGGCAGCCAUCAGCACCGUUUAGCCAGGAGGGUCGGUCGUAAAAUUCCCGUUGGCAGAGGGCAGCUGCGAGACAAAGACCAAACAAAACGUAACGGGAUCUACAGACAGACCUGAGUGCCCCAGGUUAAUUACCCGCCACUGGCCUUGGCCAAGUGCCAUUGAAUGGACUCUGCCUUCUAGAACGCACGUGUCUCUUUUCCUAUGAAUUUCCUCAACACCAGGGGCAAGACUGGUGAGAGAAGCUUUGGGUUAGAAGAUUAGUAGGCUACAGAUAUUUUUUAAAUAAAAAUUUUAAAUGGAGUUCCCGUCGUGGCUCAGUGGUUAACGAAUCCGACUAGGAACCAUGAGGUUGCAGGUUCCAUCCCUGGCCUCGCUCCGUGGGUUAAGGAUCCGGCGUUGCCGUGAGCUGUGGUGUAGGUUGCAGACGCGGCUCGGAUCCCGCGUUGCUGUGGCUCUGGCGUAGGCCGGCGGCCACAGCUCCGAUUCGACCCCUCGCCUGGGAACCUCCAUAUGCUGCGGAAGCGGCCCAAGAAAUG
rnacentral:lncRNA from 1 species